UGAGCAGUUUGAUGUACACCCCUAACUUAGACUAAUUCGAGAUGACUCUAAAUGAGAGUUUUGAGCUGCCUUCCAUUGGUCGAGGAAACAUUUAAAUUCAAUUUUAUAAUUUAACUUCUUGUUUGUGUACAUUUUUAAUGUUUACCUCUAAUAACUAAUUGAUUGAAUUUGUGAUUGUGGAGGUUUUACUUUGGCAAGUGAAUAAAGUUGGGAUAAUUUUUUACAUUAAAUAUUUUUUUUAGUGGAAAUUACCUGUAGUAUGGAUUUUUAUUAAAUGUUUAGAUAAAUAUGGAUAAAUUUUAAUUUUAGGUAAAUUAUGGUAUUUUUCUAUUUUAAAUUAUUAUGUGGGUUUUCUUUUCCAUAUUUUUAACUUUUUUUUUUUUAUAUUUUCCAGAAAAUCAUUUUCUCUCUUACCUCUUUGUCUUCUCCACCACCAUUGUUUUUGUUCACCUCUCUGUCUUCUCUUCACCAUUGUUCCAUCUUCACCAUUAUUUUCUCUCUUACCUCUUUGUCUUCUCCUCCACCAUUUCUCUUCACCAUUGUUCCAUCUUACCUGAAGAGGAGGCAUCGAUUUACGCCGUCGAAGCGAAAAGAGGAGCCUAUAAAACAUCGUGAGGUCCCGUCGUCCCUCUACGUCCUCUGACCCCUUUUCUUCGGACAGCCACCUCUGCCCUCUCCUCUGGGUUGGGUAACACUACAAUUGACCCGAGAUCCCACCUUUGCAAGAGGAUUCUUGUCUGCUAGAUCCGUCACUAGGUUUCUUUCAGAUGUUUAUUCUGUAGCUGCUGAUGAAGUUGGGAAAAUUUUUGUUAUUGCUGAUGAAAGGGCAGAUCUUAGCAAACCAGAGAUAAUUCCUGUAACGUUGGUUGGCAUUCACACUGUUAUUGAUUGUGCCAUAGGGCGCCCAGAAGAGCCUAUAAAGACGGUCAUUAAUCAUAUUUAGAGAAUGUCUUCAUCUGAUUUUGAAUCUCCGAAGAAAACAUCUAAAAAUACGCAAUCCCCUUCUUCUACUCGUGGUGUGAAAAGAAAGUGCAUUGGUGAAACAUCUAAAUGGAACAAGGUUUUUUCUAAUUAUUCUCUUAAAUGACUGUGGUGCAUUUGUGAUUGCUUUUGCUGAUCACAUAAUUCAUGACACCAUAAAUGGCAUAUCUCCUAAACUCAACAUUGCCAAUUAUCGUGAUGACCUUGCUGUUUGUCUUUACCAUCAUGCUAAAAAGAAGCAAGAGGAUGGGUACAAGACUGAUGUAGAGGAACCUGAAAAGCAUGAGAAAACAAAGAAGAAGACUGAUGUAGAGGAACCUGAAAAGCCCGAGAAGGAAAAGAAGAAGACUGAUGCAGAGGCACCUGAAAAGACUGAGAAGAAGAAAAAGAAGGAUGUUGAAGAGGCACCUAGAAAACUUGAGAAGAAGAAAAGGAAGGUUGUUCAAGACGCACCUGAAAAACCCGAGAAGAAAAAGAUGUAGUAGUUUUAUAUUUUUGGUGUGAACAUAAAUUGAGUUCUUAUUCUUAAUGUCUCAGGCAGGCUCUUUGAGAUUUCAUACUUUGUUUCAAACACACCCGGUUACUUUCUUAUAUUGUUAGGUUACUUUGUAAAGCAUGACAAACACACCUGGUUAUUUUUUUUUUCCUAAUCUUUUUCAAUGAAUAGGUGUCUUCUAAUUCUUGUUUCAGUAAUAAAAAUUGGAUUUAGUAAUGAUGAGCUGUAUUAUGUACCAGGUUACUUUAUAAAUCAUAAUAGACAUACUAAGUUACUUUUUUUUAUUAAAUCAAGACAUCAAAUUUUAUAAGUAAAAAAAUUAAAAUUAUACUUGAAACAAAAACAAAUCUGUAUAAAUUGAAAUUUUAAUGGUACCAGGUUAAUUAAUUUUUUUAAUUGAAUUUCAAAAUACUGAUAUUAGGUUACUUUCUUAUGUAGUUAGGUUACUUUGUAAAGCAUGACAAACACACUAGGUUACUUUUUUCUUCUUCAUUUUUUUUAUUAUUUUAUUUUUAAAAAAAAAAGUAUUCAAAGUUUGAUCAAUAUUCAUUUAAGCAAAAGAACUAAUGUUUUCCCAAGGUAAAGAAUGUAACAAAUCAUUACAACCUUAUGUAGUAUGAUGUCCAUAGUAACUUGUUCCUUUUUUAUGAAUGAAUAUAACGAGCAACAUCCUUAAGUAAAAGUAAAUGAAUCAUUCUCUUGGCUUGUGUGGCUUCUCCAUAGGUGGGUUUCUGCACGUUUUUCUAUUAUGACCUGAUUUGCCACAUCGUCCACACUUCAUAACCACUCUUGGCUCUCCCC